rnacentral:lncRNA from 1 species
CUUGAAAGGUUAUUUUGUCAACACUAGUUAUCGUGUCAAAUACAAGUUUCAGCAGUUGCAAAAGCACAGUUCCGUUUAUGAUCAUUAUAACAAUUAGUGAAAUCUCAGCGACCAUUAGCCAAAUAUUUUAACUUAUGAGAUGUAAAAACAAUUGGAGUUUCACGGUAUCACCAGUUAAUUCCAUCUACACCAACUCCUCGAGUACUUGAUCUUUAAAGAUUUUGGUUAAGACGACACCCCUGAAGAGGAAUUGUUUCCGGAGCAGCUCAUAUCUAAAUGCAAUCUUGAUAGUGUAUCGCCACGGCAUAUGUCCUUAGAAUAUACUAAAUGGUUUAGAAGUCCACAAUGAUUCUGAAU